rnacentral:rRNA from 1 species
UACGUAGGGGGCAAGCGUUGUCCGGAUUUAUUGGGCGUAAAGAGCGUGUAGGCGGCCAGGUAGGUGGGGUUGUGAAAACUGGAGGCUCAACCUUCAGACGUCGACCCAAACCCCCUGGCUAGAGUCCGGAAGAGGAGAGUGGAAUUCCUGGUGUAGCGGUGAAAUGCGCAGAUAUCAGGAAGACACCCGUGGCGAAGGCGGCUCUCUGGGACGGUACUGCGCUGAGACGCGAAA